AACUGAGACUUUGCCCUACUCUAUCUGGAGGAGCAUGGUGAUGUUCGGACUGGCAUCCUGACGAGUACGCGGCGCAGGAGAGCCGUAGUUGUAACUUUCUCUUUUGUAGACAACGAUGUCCAGAGCAUAGCUGGUUAUUUCUGCCAGCAUCACGUUAGACGCAGAAGCAACCGUAUCGAACUUCUGCGACUUAAUGAUCAGCAGCCGCUUAUAAGUUAUUCCUAAAGGUCACUAGUCAACUGCUGAUUGGCAGUGAAACCUGGAAGUCUAGACUGCCGUAGGGGUAGAGGGAAUUCGCGGUGUAGCGCGAAAUGAGUAGAUAUCGUGACGAACCCCAGUGGCGAAGGCGCUCUAGUGGGUCCGCAACCGACGCUGAGCGACGAAAGCUAGGGGAGCGAAAGGGAUUAGAUACCCCUGUAGUCCUAGCCGUAAACGAUGGAUACUAGGUGUUGCGCGUAUCGACCCGUGCAGUACCGUAGCUAACGCGUUAAGUAUCCCGCCUGGGGAGUACGCACGCAAGUGUGAAACUCAAAGGAAUUGACGGGGGCCCGCACAAGCGGUGGAGUAUGUGGUUUAAUUCGAUGCAACGCGAAGAACCUUACCAAGGCUUGACAUCCUACGAAUCUCUUGGAAACGAGAGAGUGCCUACGGGAGCGUAGAGACAGGUGGUGCAUGGCUGUCGUCAGCUCGUGUCGUGAGAUGUUGGGUUAAGUCCCGCAACGAGCGCAACCCUCGUUUUUAGUUGCCAGCAUUGAGUUGGGCACUCUAAAGAGACUGCCGGGGACAACUCGGAGGAAGGUGGGGACGACGUCAAGUCAUCAUGCCCCUUACGUCUUGGGCUACACACGUACUACAAUGCUACGGACAGAGGGCAGCGAGCAUGCGAAUGCAAGCAAAUCCCAUAAACCGUGGCUCAGUUCAGAUUGCAGGCUGCAACUCGCCUGCAUGAAGGCGGAAUCGCUAGUAAUCGCAGGUCAGCAUACUGCGGUGAAUACGUUCC
rnacentral:rRNA from 1 species